UAUCAGUUUUGGCCAUUUUUAUUCAUGGAUAUGUAAAGCCUUUCUCCAUGUAAGGCUAUAAAAUGAAAUUAUAAUUUACACCCAAAAUUUGCCGCAAAGUCGCAGUCACAGCUACUCUCUUCUUGGAGACGGAACAGAAGUUGAGCAUGUAACUAUUUUCACGUAGUGCGCCAUAUAAUUAAUCACUUUUUAAAGUGGACGUUUCAGACAACACUGCAAGAAGGAUGCACACGGUUCAAAUUUGAAUAGAGUACCGGUGCGCAUUGUGAUGCGCCGCAAUGGCCUAAAGAGACUUUUAUUUUGACACGACGGACUCGGAACCCGGAAGUCCGACGCUUGCGUACUUGAAGAAAAUCGUGUGCGUGAUGUGGUCGAGCGCGUCCGAUUGCGACAUGUGGGCUUCGCUGGAUUCACCAAAACUCUGCGAGGUCUGCCUGACCGACACUUGGUAGACAGUGGGCCUGCAGGGUGUGUGAGAAAAUGGAAAAUUAUGAGAUUUAUGUCCCAGAGGAUUCCGGCAUUGGGCUGUUGCCUCCUUCCAUCAUCUCGAGGCUGGGUUUUGAACAGUCGUACCACAGGGAUCCCCGUGGCGCUUUCUGGGUCUCCCCAGUGGUUUUCAGAAAGAGGGAUCACAGAGACUGGCCUGCAGAACCCGGUGAGGAGAUUUAGGAGGCGUGUGAAGAGGAGCCACCCCUGCUCUUUACCGUGUUGUAGCCCCACUGAGAUGGUCUCCAAGUCACUGAGGGGUUGUGCUUCGCAUCAUCCUCAAAGCAAGGCGUUGCUUUCUGAAAUGAAGGCUGCUGAUGACAGGGCUUACCUUCGUGCCUUCAACAUCAGACAUCAGCUCUUUGUCCGUCUCGCCCAGAUCUCAGCAACACGUCUGCAGAAGCUUUGGUACCAGGGCAGGACUCUAAAGCUGGAUGAGAAUCCGGCAGCUUUCUCACCCGAUGACGGCAGACAGGCGGUGAAACCUGCAAGCGAAGUGCCAGUGGACACGUCAUUCACUGCCGAACCCACCAACAGUAAUGAUCAGAAUCAGGAAGCACCAGCCAUUUAUCUCAGCCAGCAGAAAGAGGGGAUGGAUGUUUUGACCUCCUCUGGCAGCGAACUCAAGGAGAUCGACAUGGAUGGAGACAAUGAGGACCGCUCAAGCAGCCCAAGUGAGCUCAGAAAUGGGAACAGAAUUCGAAAUGAGCCGACGAGCCCAUUUAAAGCGGAGACGGAAGUUAAGAAGGAACGUUCCGGAGAACCCCACGCCGUGGAAAUGUGUGCAGAAACUCCCGGCAGCCCUGCGCGAGACUCCGAUGACAACGAGGGCGUCAAGAGCCAACGCGGCGAGGAAGAGACACUUUGGCGUUUUGGAAACGAGGAGCUUCCCGACGAGGGCGGAGCCAUGCCCACCCCCUUCGUCUCCUCGUCCAGCCCUUUUGGGUUUGACUUUGAGCUGUCGGCCCGGGCUGAGCGAAUCCACCGGAUUCGGGCGCUGCUGCGGGAGAAGGAGGCGGCGCUGAGCACCUGCAAAGAUUUGGUGUGAAGAUUUGGCCCGUUUUAUAAGAUGGACAAAUGAUUGAUUGGCUGCUAACUACCUCUCUGGACUUCUAACUGACGCCACCUUGUUCUGUUUACGUUUGUACUUAUAAUAAAUAUAACUGUAGUUAUAUUGUGGUACUUCA
rnacentral:lncRNA from 1 species